GAUGAACGCUGGCGGCGUGCCUAAUACAUGCAAGUCGAGCGAACGGACGAGAAGCUUGCUUCUCUGAUGUUAGCGGCGGACGGGUGAGUAACACGUGGAUAACCUCCCUAUAAUACUGGGAUAACUUCGGGAAACCGUAGCUAAUACCGGAUAAUAUUUUGAACCGCAUGGUGCAAAAGUGAGAUACGGUCUUGCUGUCUCUUAUAGCUGGAUCCGCGCUGCAUGAGCUAGUUGGUAAGGUAACGGGUUACCAAGGCAACGAUGCAUGACCGACCUGAGAGAGGGAUCGGCGACACUGGAACUGAGACACGGUCCAGAGUCCUACGGGAGGCAGCAGUAGGGAAUCUUCCGCAAUGGGCGAAAGCCUGACGGAGCAACGGCGCGUGAGUGAUGAAGGUCUUCGGAUCGUAAAACUCUGUUAUUAGGGAAGAACAUAUGUGUAAGUAACUGUGCACAUCUUGACGGUACCUAAUCAGAAAGCCACGGCUAACUACGUG
rnacentral:rRNA from 1 species